rnacentral:tRNA from 1 species
GGUAGAUAGCGUCAAGGUGACAAAGUGGAUUUGAAAUCCAUGCUAUUGGUUAGUAGCCGAUAAGGGUUCGAUUCCUUUAUCUACCU